AUGAACGCUGGCGGCGUGCUUAACACCUGCAAGUCGAACGGAAAGGCCCAAGCUUGCUUGGGUACUCGAGUGGCGAACGGGUGAGUAACACGUGGGUGAUCUGCCCUGCACUUCGGGAUAAGCCUGGGAAACUGGGUCUAAUACCGGAUAGGACCACAUUUUGGAUGGUGUGGUGGAAAGUUUUUCGGUGUGGGAUGAGCUCGCGGCCUAUCAGCUUGUUGGUGGGGUAAUGGCCUACCAAGGCGUCGACGGGUAGCCGGCCUGAGAGGGUGUACGGCCACAUUGGGACUGAGAUACGGCCCAGACGCCUACGGGAGGCAGCAGUGGGGAAUAUUGCACAAUGGGCGCAAGCCUGAUGCAGCGACGCCGCGUGGGGGAUGACGGCCUUCGGGUUGUAAACUCCUUUCGCUAGGGACGAAGCGUUAUGUGACGGUACCUGGAGAAGAAGCACCGGCUAACUACGUG
rnacentral:rRNA from 1 species